rnacentral:rRNA from 1 species
GAUGAACGCUGGCGGCGUGCCUAAUACAUGCAAGUCGAGCGAACAGAUGAGGAGCUUGCUCCUCUGACGUUAGCGGCGGACGGGUGAGUAACACGUGGAUAACCUACCUAUAAGACUGGGAUAACUUCGGGAAACCGGAGCUAAUACCGGAUAAUAUAUUGAACCGCAUGGUUCAAUAGUGAAAGACGGUUUUGCUGUCACUUAUAGAUGGAUCCGCGCCGCAUUAGCUAGUUGGUAAGGUAACGGCUUACCAAGGCAACGAUGCGUAGCCGACCUGAGAGGGUGAUCGGCCACACUGGAACUGAGACACGGUCCAGACUCCUACGGGAGGCAGCAGUAGGGAAUCUUCCGCAAUGGGCGAAAGCCUGACAGAGCAACGCCGCGUGAGUGAUGAAGGUCUUCGGAUCGUAAAACUCUGUUAUUAGGGAGGAACAAAUGUGUAAGUAACUAUGCACGUCUUGACGGUACCUAAUCAGAAAGCCACGGCUAACUACGUG